rnacentral:sRNA from 1 species
UGAUUGAACCUGGUCUAAUUCAUGUGCGA